GACGAACGCUGGCGGCGUGCUUAACACAUGCAAGUCGAACGAUGAAGCUAGAGCUUGCUCUGGUGAAUUAGUGGCGAACGGGUGAGUAACACGCGAGUAACCUGCCCCGAACUCUGGGAUAACUGCUGGAAACGGUAGCUAAUACUGGAUACGACCUACGAAGGCAUCUUCUGUAGGUGGAAAGAAUUUCGGUUCGGGAUGGACUCGCGGCCUAUCAGCUUGUUGGUGAGGUAAUGGCUCACCAAGGCGACGACGGGUAGCCGGCCUGAGAGGGUGACCGGCCACACUGGGACUGAGACACGGCCCAGACUCCUACGGGAGGCAGCAGUGGGGAAUAUUGCACAAUGGGCGCAAGCCUGAUGCAGCGACGCCGCGUGAGGGAUGACGGCCUUCGGGUUGUAAACCUCUUUCAGCACCGACGAAGCGCAAGUGACGGUAGGUGCAGAAGAAGGACCGGCCAACUACGUGCCAGCCGCCGCAGUAA
rnacentral:rRNA from 1 species